rnacentral:rRNA from 1 species
AUGCUCCCUCUGUUGCAACGAGCUAGCCUACCAUCACCACCACCACCAGCAGCAGCAACAGCGGCAGAGUGCUCCCCUCUUCCUCAGCUUACUUGCGUCCCAUUAAUUAAAGUAGGUGGCAAGAUGGAUCCUGGCUUCUGCAACGACAUGAUCCUAAGCGAGAGCGCGUGGAACAGCGGCGGUGGAGACGGUGGCGCGGCCGGUGAUGUCGUUAAUGUUGUGGACGGGAGCGGCAUGACGGUGCUGGAGAGGCUGGUGCUGGACGAGGCGCUCGCGGCCGCGAUCAUGGAGCUGCAAGGCAUCCAGGUGCCGUGCGCAGGUGGCAAGCCGAUGGCCGGCGGCCUCGAGGCGGCCAGCCUCGCAUUCGGCGCUACGGGGACGGCACCCGUCACGCCUGCCUACGCUGAGGUUGACGGGGUUGUCUUGCAGCGACAGCAGCAUCAACAUCGCCAUCAGGGCGUGAUGGGGAUGCCUGUCGACUACGACCUCGUACCAGCAGCACGAGCUGUCACGUUGGCUACUGUACCUGCGGCACCUUCCUUCCCAAAAGGCGCGGCUGCCGGCGUCGUCGAUGCGGCGGCCUUUGACUCCGGCAAUAACGCGCUGACAUCGGCGGUAACAGCAGGGACGACGAGGCAGUGUGACGAAGCCAACGGUGGUGCCAAAAGGCAACUCCGGUCAAGUAGAAAGAGGAGGGCCGCCGAUGCACCAUGCCCGGCCGCCGACGGGCACCCGCAGUCGCAGGAGAACCCUCUCUGCAGCCUCCUCGCGUACACCAACACCGGAGAUGGCGGCAUCCAGAUUGCGUUCAGCGGCGGCGGCGGUGCUGCGCCGUCCUCCAAGCGCACCAAGCCGUCGCUGAGCAGCACCUCGUCCAGCAUCAGCUUUGACGGCAGAAGUUCCGUCAACAACGGCUGCGACGACGUCCCCCGGUACGAACCGGACACGGAGGCCCUGGCGCAGGUGAAGGAGAUGAUCUAUCGCGCGGCGGCGAUGCGGCCGGUGAGCCUCGGCGUCGAGGAGGAAGACACCGGCGAGCGGCCAAGCAGGCGCAACGUGCGCAUCUCGUCCGACCCGCAGACGGUGGCGGCGCGCCAGCGGCGGGAGCGCAUCAGCGAGCGGCUGCGCGUGCUGCAGAAGCUCGUCCCGGGAGGCGCCAAGAUGGACACGGCCUCCAUGCUGGACGAGGCCGCCAACUACCUCCGCUUCCUCAAGUCGCAGCUCAGGGAGCUGCAAACCCUAGACCGCCGGAAUUACGGCGCUAAUGCCAUAUCGAACACAGGCAUGGCGCCACUGAUGAGCUACAACAACAUGCCGGCCUUCGCCUUCCCGGCGACAGGAGCCGGCGAAACCCUAGGAGGAGGAGGAGGAGAGGAGGCUUUCAUGAGCAGCCGGUUUAGAUAG